GACAGAGGUCCCGAGCGUUAGGCGGAAUCACUGGGCUUAAAGGGUGCGUAGGUGGGAAUGUAAGUCAGUGGUGAAAUCUCCGUGCUUAACAUGGAAACUGCCAUUGAUACUAUGUUUCUUGAAUUUUCCGGAGGUUAGCGGAAUAUGUCAUGUAGCGGUGAAAUGCUUAGAUAUGACAUAGAACACCAAUUGCGAAGGCAGCUAACUACAGGGAUAUUGACACUGAGGCACGAAAGCGUGGGGAUCAAACAGG
rnacentral:rRNA from 1 species